GACGAACGCUGGCGGCGUGCCUAAUACAUGCAAGUCGAACGCAGUGGGGACGGGUGAGUAACACGUGGGUCACCUCCCGUCAAAGGGGAUAACACUUUGAAACAGGUGCUAAACCGAUACUGAUGUCACGACCAGCGGUGCAUUAGAUAGUGGGUGAGGUAAAGGUUCACCAAGGACACGAUGCAUAGCUGAGCUGAGAGGGUGAUCGGCCACACUGGUACGGAGAAACGGCCCAGAUUCCUAUGUGAGGCAGCAGUAGGGAAGCGUGGGCAAUGGGCGAAAGUCUGACCGAGCAACGCCGCGUGAGUGAAGAAGGUUUUCGGAUCGUAAAAUUCUGUUGUUAGAGAAGCGGUAUCUAACCAGAAAGCCACGGCUAACUACGUGCCAGCAGCCGCGGUAAUAC
rnacentral:rRNA from 1 species